AUACAGACUUAGGAAAAGAAGUUAUGAUCAAGCAUGUGUCAAUCCAGUUGAGCCUGUGGUUGCCCACAGUGAUAAGCAACCUCAAGAAUGGGAGCCACCAACUACAAGUCAAGACAUUAGACCUGGUGAAGAGAAAAAGGAUGAAGGAGCAUCUGCAGUGGAAGGGCCUGUCCCGGAAGCUGAUCAAUGGGAAGUGGCUGAGCCAGAGACUGGGCGUGAGCAUGAUCCUGGUGUUAAUGGGAAGAGACUGCCAAAGGCAGAGCCCUUUUAAAAUGCCAGAAGCAGGUAUGUUCUC